CAACUAUUGUCAGGAAAUAUUUAGAUCCAUCUAAAGAAGGGAUUGAAUACGGCCCCCAGACGUCCCAAUGGAUGAGAUCAAAUGAGUUAGAUGAUUUUAUCUCACUAGUAGGAAAGGGUAACUUGUGUUGCUUGGCCAAAGGACAAUUGGAACAAUGUAAAUUUUUAUUGAAUGUAAUAGCAGGAACAUUUUUAUGCAGAACAGACAACUUUGAAAUGGGAACAUGCCCUAGACGACAAUGCCAGAGAUCAAUACUAUUUUGAGCAGUGAUAUUGCUAGUUGAAUUACAGAUAAUAGAUGCUGAAACAUUACAAUGUAAAAUUGAAUUGGUACGAGAGACAUCAGAAACUGAAGUAAGUUGUUGAGGAAGAGGUGAUGACUGAUCAUUGCAGUGAUACUUAGAUUGUUGAAGGUGGUAUAAUCCAUCUUCAAUUCUACCUAUCCCAAUCAUCCUCCACGUUGAAAGAUCCUGAACAAAGCAUUGACGAUGAAUAAAGAUCAGAAUACAGCUGUGUUGAAGGAUUAGUUUACUAGCAGAGAUCAAAUUAAACUAGAAACAUGGCACAACUAGAACAUUUGUCAAAAUAAAAGUAUCAAACAAUUUUACUGUCCCAACAUGUGUGGCUAUGGCAGUGUCACCAUUAGGUAGUUUCACAGUAGCUUUGAUUGUUGUAUUCACAGUGACCAGAUGCUUAAUGGAGCAAACCAUGUGCUCUGACGCCCCUGUAUCCAGAAUCCACUUAUGUGCAACUAUGGAAUCACUAAAACAUGCACGAUUACCUGAGAAAGCAGAGGCUUCUGGUACUUGAGAAGACGAGGAGAUCACUACAUGAGAUUGCUCAUUGCCAUUGGGAAUUUUUCCUUUCAACUGUGGAGUUAACAUGGCUAGGAUUUGCUGACAUUGACUUGGAGUAAUGGUAAUGUCUGAUAAGGAACUGAUGAUGUUUGAACUGGAAUUGUAUGACAUUGAGCCAGCAGCAUUGACGACUGGAGGUUUUCCUUUGGCUAGCCUGUGACCUGGAGGGUAGCCAACCAACUUAUAGCACUUAAUCUUAAGAUGCCCAAUCAUUCCACAGUGGCUACACACAGGUUUGUCUCUCUUUUGAAACUGAUUAAAUGAUGUUGCUCUUGGACUGCUGUGGAUCAUUCUACCAGAAAAUGCAGCAGCAUCAAAGUUUUGUUGUUUCUUAGCAACCACCUCCUUUUGUUUUUCGUCUUGUAAAAUUAGGGCAAAUACCUUAUUAAGCGAUGGCAGUGGAUCCAUUGAUAAUAUCUUGCUUCUCAUACUCGAGAAUUGAUCAUCUAAUCCCAUCAGAAAUUGCAUGAUCUGAUCCUCAGAUUUGUAAUCAAUAUUAUUAGCAUUUGGCCUAUAAUUUUCAAGUUCUUCCUAAAGUCCUUUGAGUCUAUUAAAAUACGAAUUCACAGAACUAUUUGCCCGAGAGAUGGAUGCAAUUUGUUUCUUAAUCUCAUAGAUUCUAGGACCAUUACCUUGGCUAUAAUGAUCUCUAAGCUUGAUCCAAAUCUGCCUUGCUGAUUCCUUGUGCAUCACACUUGGAUAAAGUUCCUUUGCGAUGGAAUUAAUAAUCCAUGAAGAAACAACAUGAUUACAUCUCCUCCAAGCACUGUAUAAAGGAUCCUGCUGAGGUGGUUUACUGAUCGAUCCAUCAAUAAACCCUUCCUUAUUCUUGACACUGAGUGCCAUAAUAACAGCACGACUCCAUGUCGUAUAAUUCUCUUCGUUGAGGACGACUGAAAUGAGCUGCAUUCCAGUGUUGUCACCAUAGUGGAGAUAGUAAGGGCUAUUCAAAUCACUGAUCAGACGAUUCACCAGCGAAACUGCAUCUCCAGCAACUGUUUCUCCCACAAUUGGAUCGACAGAUAAAUUGGCCUGAUCAGAUUCAGUUCGGAUCUCUGCUUGAGUGUUGGAAUUCUUCGCCAGCUACGUAUGAAAGCUCCAUUGCUCUGAUACCAUGACAAAAGUAGAGAGAACAAAUUUGGGGAGAACAAAUGGUGGAAAAAAACACAUCUGUAUUGAUCUCAAAAUCUGAUGAACUGUACAAGUGGUCACAUAUAUAUAUAAGACGUUCAGCAAGAAUAUCAGAAUGGAAAGCUGUACAAAGACUAAAUUGCCCCUAUACUACAUGCAAAUUAAAAAAUGUCAACCUCAAAUUUUGGUAGAUCGAAUGUUUACAAAAUGGUCUAAUCGUUAUAGUCUGAAUUAUAUUUUUAGAUGAUUGGUUCUAACCCAUAAUCGGCCUGAGUAGGGUCUCAUUGUAGGCGAAGCCAUUGUGCCGGGCCAGCCCACUUUAGAAAAGUAACAUAAGUUUAGCCAAGCAUGUGGUUUAUACAGAAAUUCAUGCUAUUAAUUAUGUUCCAAUAGUCCACAGUAAAGAGGAACAAUGUUGUCGCCCGCUUGGCUAUGUCCUGUCUUAAUUUUCAUUAUGUAGAGAAAAGUCUUAACGACAUUUUUCCCCAUUACUGUGGACAAUUGGAACAUAAUUAAAAUAUCUAUGCUAGAAGUACUAGUUUAAAAGAGCUCGUAUCUCGAAAUUUUACGACUGCCUUUUUUCAUAAAGAUCUGGACAAACGCUGCUUAAGACUCAUAAAUCAGGAAAGUAUGAAUGUUCUUCCACUAGGUCGCCAUGUGAAAGCUCAAAGCAUUAGUAGAACUAACUCAAGUAAGUAGAGAAUCUACCGACGUCCAUUUGCCCAAUGCCUUUUCUGGUUGGUAGGCCUUGUUUGCGGAUUUUUACAAGCAAGAUUUUGCUUCGGGAGAUCAUACCCCCACGACCUGUAUCGUCUGCUGUUUCUUGGCUUUUAAGAAGUUAAUGGUGGUAUUACAAGAUGAAAACCACGAUUUUUGAAUUACUUUUUGAUAACUAAUAUUUGCAUUUGUUUGAUAUAGAAUUAAAUACAAGUGGAAGUUAAAGAUAGGAAAAACUAACCAUCCUCGGCUUCUUGAUAUAGUUCUUGGAGUUUCCUCUUUGCCACUUCUAAUUUUGCUCGAACUGAAGCCUUAUCAUUAACCCUUGAUUUC
rnacentral:lncRNA from 1 species